GCACGAGUGGAUUGUAAACACAGUUUUCUCGCGUGUGUUUUCAGUGUUUUAACAGGGGCCUCGGGAUAAAUGGUAGCGCGAUGUCGGGCGGAAUGUAUUUGCACUGUGCUUUAUUUUCCUUCCAUUUUAGUUUUCUUGGAGGGUUUAAAAGGACAGACAAACAAAACACAAACAACCUAGUGCUGACUUGUGUGGUUUGUAAACAAACAGCUGGGUCUAAGUCCUACAGUGAAUGUUAUGCAAAGAAGACAGACAAAGGGCUAAUGGAUAAACAGAAAAGGCCAUGGAAAAUUAUUUCAGUGUAUGAUUAUGAAAGCGAGAUUAUCAUACAUAUAAAGAUGGAAAGAUUCAACGCUAUCCAUUCUAGAGAAAUGCUUGGUGGAAUUGUCAGAUUUUAUUGAAAUGGAUGAAUUGGCUUCUUCAAUUAUAUAAAAGGAUUGAACCAAGUACAGAGAUAUCCUGAUGUUCACAACAAGAAAAAAGUACAGAAAUUGUUCAAACUCCCCCUGCUAUUGCCCAAAUAUACCUUGAUGGGUGACAUGGAACUAUGUUAUAAAAACUAGACCCCUUGUGUUGUUCCAUGAAUGUGUGAAAUGGCAUAAAAUUCUGUUUUUACUUGCAGUAAUUAUGAAUCACAAAAUCAUCUUUCACUCUUCUUGCCCUACAAAACUCUUUCCCCUUCAGAAAUUGAGAUAAUUACUUGAACUUGGUCCCCUGUGAUCGGCCAACAACAGGACCAAAUUUUAAAGCAAUCCAAUAAAAAUUGCCAUAGAUAAUAUAGCAAGUUACAAAAUUUCAGAAAUUGAUUAAACUCUUCUUUUACUGGCAGGCAUCUCAUAAUUCUGAAGAAGUCCAAGGGGCACUACUGAUGUAUUUCAUGCUGACCUGUAUGGAUUGUAGUUUAAAUAUUCCUUUAGAUAUCUAACGAACAGUUCAAAAACUGCUUGGCCUAGAACGUUUUAAUCCAUCUCCCUCAGCAUCAGUCUCCCAUACAGUGUAUUCUUACUAUGGUAACCUGUAUGUACCGGGAGUAAACCACAACAGUGCUGCUGCUUCCCUUCAUAUUCUGCAAGCACAAUUUGUAUGAUUGCACAAUAAUAUCAGGCACUUCUUCUAUGUAAUCAAUUUUAGAGUCUCUUUUUCUGGCUUUCUGCAGCUUCUGACAAAAUGAGACAACCUUAAUUUUACUGCUAAACUGCAGGAAUGUAUUUUUAUUUUGGUGAUUGAAUAUUAUCAAUUUCUUUUGAAACAACAACCACAGCAACAAUGCCUCAUUUAAAAAUAAAUAAGGUUCUUGCAUAGAUUUUUCCUUCUCUUUAUUGAAAAUGGAACUGGAAUAUAACUGCAGCUAGUAAGGUUCAGGAUAAAUCAAUUAAUACGUUAAUUUUAAAUAUGUGUAGUGUGGAUGAACUUUUAAGCUCUGUUAUUUCAUCAUUAUUUUAACGUCAUAUAUUAACCUUUGAGUGUUUUAUGAUGUACUUUGUUUGUUUCAGUAUUUCAUUUGGUGAUUUAAAUGUGUUGCAAGCUAUUCUGGGAAAACGUAGUUUUGAAAAGCAGCAUGCCCAUUUAAAAUUACAUGAAAUGGAAUAACACUAUAAGUAAUCAUCUAUUCUCCAAAUAAGGCCUGGGUAUAGUUUCCCUAUAAAAAGACAAAUCAGCAGUAAGACUACUUUCAAAAUUAUUUUCUUCUCUGUAUAUUUCUGAUCAUGUGUAAAAUGUCUUAUGUAAAACAGUUUAUGAAGGAAAUGUGUGCUUAAGGAAUUAUCAUUAUAAUUGUUAUUAUGUUUGAUUAUUUUGCAUCUUGUUAUAUUGCUAAGCCCCCAUCCACCGAAAAAACCCCAAGUAUUUAUGCUAUGACAGACAACAGGUAAUUCCUUGUAAACCAUAAUGUCCUGCAUUUUCAUUCUUCAUAGAAACAGCAGUAAAUGACAUUUAUAAGAUUGGAAUAUAUGGCCUGCCAGAGACAAAGAGAAGGGCAACAGCUAAAUGAGAAAAUGGCUUGCAAAAUGCAUUUCCCUGGUUUUCCCAUUUAGUGAACUUUUGAUAAUCAUUGCAUCAAUUAGGGCUAAUCAAAUAUUAUUGGCAUAAGUACUGCUGUCUCCUAAAGCUAUUUCACUUCUGUGCCUUCAAUAGUAGGAAACAUUAUCCUUGAAAAUGGCAUGAAAUUGUAGGCUCUUUCAGCUUAGUAAGAAGGGCAAGGAUGAGAUAAAAGAUAAUUACAGCUGAUAAAUCCAGAAAAUACAUUUGAAGUCAUCUGGUAUUUAUUGGUGGCCAAAGGUACAGGUUAAUAAAGUCUCCUGGAACC